AGUGAACGCUGGCGGUAGGCCUAACACAUGCAAGUCGAACGGAAGCACAGUAAGAGCUUGCUCUUACGGGUGGCGAGUGGCGGACGGGUGAGGGAUACAUCGGAAUCUACUUUUUCGUGGGGGAUAACGUAGGGAAACUUACGCUAAUACCGCAUACGACCUACGGGUGAAAGCAGAGGAUCUUCGGACCUUGCGCGAUUGAAUGAGCCGAUGUCGGAUUAGCUAGUUUGCGGGGUAAAGGCCCACCAAGGCGACGAUCCGUAGCUGGUCUGAGAGGAUGAUCAGCCACACUGGAACUGAGACACGGUCCAGACUCCUACGGGAGGCAGCAGUGGGGAAUAUUGGACAAUGGGCGCAAGCCUGAUCCAGCCAUACCGCGUGGGUGAAGAAGGCCUUCGGGUUGUAAAGCCCUGUUGUUGGGAAAGAAAAGCAGCAGGUUAAUCCCCCGCUGUUCUGACGGUACCCAAAGAAUAAGCACCGGCUAACUUCGUG
rnacentral:rRNA from 1 species